AAAGCCAAGUCUGGGCCAAAGCUGCAAGGCUCCAAGUGCCGGGGAGGAUCUCUGCUGCGCUCGGGGGUGGAUUGUCCAAAGAAUCUAAUUAGGAGUGAGCAGACCUUCCCGAGCUGUAAUACGCCGAGUAAUUGGGUGAUUAGUAUUGAUCGUUGGAAUGCUUAAUGAGCAGUUAUUGCCAAAUGAUUAAUUAAUCCAAUCAGAGGAGUAAUACAAAUUCUGCAGGUGUGAUGUGAGCUGAUCUUCCAGGCGGGGAGCGAGGGCAGCGGGGGUCUCCCCACUCGCAUCCCAGGCACGAGGAGAGCCGGGCACCACCCGGAGCUGUUGGCUUUGCUGCAAGCUCCCACGGCUUGGGCCACCCCCAGCCCUGGGCUAGGGGCUCUGUCCCCUUCCCCAAAAUCCCCGGGGCAGAUGUGUGGAGCUGCUCCAUGUGGCACGGAGGUGGGAGGAUGUUGUCCCCCCUCAUCCAUCGGCAUCCAGAGGAGGCCAAAAGCCAUCGAUGCUGAUCUCCUCCAUGGGAAUCGCUCCUUCGCACCUUUGAUUAAUUUGUUCUGGUUUCUCCUGGGUCAUUCAGCCCACAAAAGCUCUGCUGAUGUCUGCUAAACCCAUCCCGUGCGGCACAAUCACCUGGGAUCGCCUCACAGUGGCUCUCUGGGGAUGUCCUGGAGCCACAUCAUGGGGACAUGGGAGCUCUCUGGGCACCCACGGCCACAUAACAGAACUUUGCUGCCCCUUACCAUGCACCCGACUGUGCUAGGACAUUGCUCAAUUAAUUAAUUACAGCACCCCCUGGCUGUGGGUGUCUGCUCUGUUUGACAGCCCAAGGACAGCCCGUCCAAAUGCCACUGCUGGGCAGGGAGGGGAGGCACCCAGCACCAAAACAGGAGCUCCGAAUUUUGCCCCUCUAGUGCCCGAGGGACACGGGCUCACCCCCUGCCCACGUCCCCUCCUCUCCAAGUGGUGCCUUCGGUCCCAGCCCUGCUGCCCAUGGCCACGAUUUCCCCUGGGGGCUCCGAUUCCCCCGUCAGUCCCAGCUUGGGAGAUGAUGGAUCGGGUCCCAGUGCUCCUUCCCGUGCACCCUGUAAAGGUUUGGGGCUGCUCACCCGCACCCUGCCCGCCAUCCACAGCUGCCUCCGCCUGCCUGGCGGGCCCUGAUGCGGCUGAGCACAGGAUUUAUAAUUAGAAAUGCUAAUCAGCUCUGGUGCUUCUAGCCUGACAGCCCUGCCACCCCCAGCACAGUCUUCCCUCCCAUCUGUCCUGUGCUCGCCCCCUCCGCUUCCUCUCCAAAUUCCUGCUCUUUGUAACCCAGCCCUACAGAGCUGGGGAGAGGGGGAGCUCCCAGUCACCACCAGUCCCUUAACUGGGGACACCCUGGGGACAUCCCUGACCCUGUCUGGGGUGGGCAGGGGCAGAGGGGCAGAGGCGAAGGAUGGUGGCUGCGGCUGUGGCUGUGGGCAGACCCGAGGAGCUCGGUGUGCCCGGUGGCUGUGGAAGGGGAGCUGCUCUCAUUAGGAUUUCCGUCAUGCACCAAGCGCUGGCUCUUCCCAGCCGAGGAGAAAAACGAGCUUGCAAAGGAGCACGGACAAGGAGGCUGAGCAAGCAGAUCCCUGCCCGGGCUGAGCUGGCGGAGGAGCGAUUCGUCGUCAUGCCUUGUGCUCGGAGGCACAGCCCGGGGGAUCCCUGGCUCGCUGGUGCCUGCAGGCAAUCCCCACGUCCCUGCCUCCUGGGAGCUGGGAUCCUGUGGCCACAAGAGCCAGGACAUCGCCUUCUCCCCAGCACCACAAGCAUCCACAGCAGGGCAGAGGCUGGCAGACCUCACCCCGUGGUGCUACUGAAACCCCUUUGGGUGAUGUGGUGGCAAGGGGUGCGCUGACACGGAGCAAAACGUGGAUUUUAUCCCGAGCCCAGCCCUGGGCAUGUCCAAGCUGAGAAAUACGACAGCGCCUCUAAGGGUGCAGUGCUGGGAGAGGAUGGAUGGAGAUCCUGGGAUUACAAAUCAGCCUUCCUCUUCCAGGUGCUGCUUGUUUAUUAAUUUCACCUGCCUGCAGGAGAAGGCUCCGUGUGCAGCAGGGAAGGGUUUUUAAGAAGCAGGGGAGAUCCCUUUACCCCCUGCCCACAGCCAGCUGCUGGUGGGCGUCCCGUCCUCCCUGCACCCCGAGCACCGUGAUUUCCAGAGAAAGGGACACAGGAGAAACAAGGAGGCAGCACAAAUGGGGUGCUCCAAGGGCUGCCCAGAACAGGCUGUGGUGGCUCUGGUGGCCACAGGCUCAUGACGAGGUGCUGGCGGUGCAUGCAGCUGCCUGGCAAACCUCUGAGGAUGGGUUUGGCUGGGCUCAUCAGGGCUAAUUGGCCCUAAUUGGCUCCCCCCAGUGCCGUGGUGCAGGUUUCACCCGCCGUGUGAGCAGGGUUCCCGAUCACCCAGGCGUUAAUGAGGGCCUGACCCCGGCUGCGCAGCCACUUGAGUUUUCCCGACGCAGACAGCUGGCUUAAGGGGCCCUUUCACUCCGCGGAUAUCAGAUCAAUGGGGACGGUUAUAAUCCAGUGCUUGGGAAAGCUGGGAGCGGGCUUUGCAGCCCAGCUAGCUCACAAAAAAAAAAGCAAGCAAGGGGGAGAGGUGGUGAUGAACUAUUGAUCGAGCAGGCGGCCGUGCUGCUCCCAGAGACGGCUCCUGCAGAGAACUCGCCCGGGACAGUUUGCCUCUCUGUCUCUCGCUAAUGCUGCUCCAUUGAUCUUCUGUGACAGGCGGCAACGACGAGAUUUUUAGUUCUUUUUUUAGUAGCUGGAGUCAUUAAGAAGCAUUAAUCAAUAACAGGGGAAACACGGAGAGCCAAGCCGCUCGCUUCACGCGGACGUGUUCCCCGUGUGGAUUUUAGCCUCCCGAGGUGCGCCUGGUUCGUUUCCAGCAGCCCAGCCAGGGAGGGCUGCCAGGAAAAGUUCACCUUGUGUUGGACUCCGGCACUUGGAGGAGAUCCCAAGCUGGUUGCGGCACCCAGCAGCUCUCUCCAGGCCGUGCAAAGAGCGGGGUCCAGCUUGGGAGCUGGUGACACCCGACCCCAGGUACCCAACCCCAGUGUCACCCAGCCCUGAUCCCACACGGGUGCCCCAGGAGGAGCUGGGCUCUGGUUUCACAAGCCCCGCUUGCUGGGUAUUGAUUUCACAUCAUGCUUUUGCUAAAUCCAGUGCAGCCUGGCAGCGGUGCAAGGUGUCCCAGCCCUCGCCCAGCCUGGGCUCGUCCCCUGUGGGGUGGCUCAGCCCCCGGGGCCCUUCAGGGAGCUUGGGGCUGUCUGCAAGGAAAGCUCUUUGUGCUCAAAGUGCCCUGGGCUGCACCGCUCCCUCCUCCCUGCCCUCAGGGUGUUUGUGUGCCCGUUUUUCUUCUUAAUCAGCUCCUACGCUCAGCCCCAGCAAGUGCUGGAGCCAGUCUUGGAGAGCUGGAGCUCGGCAAGUGCAGCUGGGAGCCCUCUGCACAGGAGCAGGAGGACAGGUUGGAUUUUGGAGGGGUUUGUGAGGAGUUGCUGUGGUUCCCUGCCCUCCUGGCCGGCUGCAAGAGGUGUGUGCUGUUGCAGGGACGGGCUCGGGCUGUGGAUGGAGCUGCAGCCGCCUGCAUGCGGCCUGAGGACCGGCCCCCAGGGCUCUGAAUGCACUUGUGGACUCAGUCCAAAGGGUGUAUGUACCGAGGGAUGCUUCAGAGCAAGGGAAAAGCCCUUCUGGAGGAGGGGAUGGAGAUCCCGGAGGAGAGAGCUUCCCUUUCCUCUCCGUACACGCCUCGCUUCCACUCCCAAACCCCAGUGGCCCGCUGCUCCAACCCUCCUGGGCCGUUACGCUGUGGUAAUUACUGCAGCUCCCUGGGGAAAUGGGAUCUUCAUCUGCGCUGUAAUUACAGCCGCACAUCCACGGCAAAGGGCUCAAAGGGAGCAGGGGAAGCGGCAAUGGGGAGCCUGCCCUCCCAGCAGCAGGCACACUCGGAGGAUCACGCAAGCUGUAAGCAGCCGGCACAGCCUCAGCCCUGCUCUCACACACUCACACACCCACAAACACUCUCAUUCCUCUCCGUUCGGGGUGUUCCUGGCCAUAGCAGGAGCCACCGCUGGCCACCUGGCACUGCGUGUAGGAAGCCACCCAUUCCCUUCCCUAAAUCUUUGCCCUCUCCCAUCCCUGUUUGCAGGACCAGCUGCAGGUUUGCUCAGCGCUGUCACCCGAAUCCAGCCCAGCUGGGGGGAGUUCUGCUGCUGUCUGGUGGCUCCCUGACACGAGAGUCCCUGACACGGAGAUAGAGCAAUCCCCUCUUCGGUCCCACGUUGGCCAUCAGGAGAAACCUUGGGCCAGUGACUUUGCCCUCCCUGCACAGCCGGGCCAACCACCCCCUCACUUCCAUCGGCACAAAAUCCAUCAGAAACGAGAGCAGGGGAGGCUGCGCAUCCACAGCCCCGCUGCCAGGGCGUUUUGGCAGUCCCAGCCUUCAGCUUCUUGUGCAACCCGACUGCUUCGUAGCCCGGUGGGUGACUGCAGCGCUCGCAUUUAAACCACACUGAGUCAACAUCCUAAUUCCUCCCCGAGUGCUUACGCUGUUGUCAUGAGAGCGCUGACGUGUGACUACCUAAAAGCCCAGCAGCUACAGGGAGCACGGCCAUGGGGCACCGGGAGCUCGUGCGGCAGCUGGGGGUCAGCCUGAAGCUCUGCCCGGCCAUCCUGAGAGCUGGGGAGGGAAAGGGAAGGCUGUGAGCGUGGGUGCAGCCCAGGGACACCGCCACAGCAUCCCCACGGCAGGGUGAGCUUUGCCUCGGGUGCCCCAGGACCCGUUUAGGCUGAGCGAGCGGGACGGAAAGGGGAUGAACCCACAUCCUUUGCACAAACGGCUCUCAGCUGCCGUCCUUGCCUGGCAGAGCAGCCCGCAGCAGGCAGUGUCAGCCUUAGGGCAGCCUUGUUUAUUGAGGGAAAGAUGUCCCAGGUUACCCAUCUAUACCCAUACCUUCAUGGAGCAAGCUCUAGCAGAGUCAGUACAUCAAUAUCAUGAUGCUGUGCAAUUUAUGUCCCCUGCCUGAGCCACGCAGAGGUGACACUAAGCCACAGCAGGCUCUGGGAGGCACCUCAGUUGGCUGCUAUUGAGACAGGCAAGAGGGAAGAGGAUGGCUCCGUCCGCGGAUGGAUAGGCUGACAGAGGUCCAGAAGAGGUUAGAUCAGAUGCGUGGAUCACCUUACGGUUCCCAGGUCUCUGGCAGGCGAGGUUAUUUUGCAUCCCUCAGCAGCAGGAGGUUGCUGUCUGGGUGCUUCAGCGCCCCGGGGCUCCGUGCUGCCCACGUUAUCAGUCCUUCCUCACAGGGCUCCCGGGCCAAGGUCACCGGCGUGUGCCUUGACAGGGCUGAGAACAAAGCUCAGCAGGUCGCUCCCUCCCUCCCCCUCUGCUUUUAAUGUCACCAAAACCAGCUGCUGUUUUCAGCACGUCCCUUGGCAGGAGGUGAAGAGAAACGGGCUGCUGGGCAGCGCUGCCAAAGGCACUGGGAGAAGCCAAGGGCAGGCACUCGGGAACCAACGAGGGACACGUCUCUCCUUUCUCCCUUCCUUCCUUCCUUCCCAAGUGCUUUCCCUCUCUGCCCUUCUCUGCUCGUCGUGCUGCCUGCGUGGGAGACGUUCUCACCGGCUCCGUUUCUUCUCCAGGCAGGAGCUAGUCAUCACAAGUGAGGUCACACACGCUGUUUCCAUGGGAAGCAAUACAUUUAGUCAAAUAAGAGUUAAAAAAAAACAACGCCAGGUUACUACAAGGCAUCAGACGACCAAAGCCAACGGGUGACGCUCUGGGCUUUGUGGUGUUUCGCAGACCCAGCCACAGAAACCCCAUCAUCGGU